rnacentral:rRNA from 1 species
GACGAACGCUGGCGGCGUGCCUAAUACAUGCAAGUUGAGCGCUGAAGGUUGGUACUUGUACCGACUGGAUGAGCAGCGAACGGGUGAGUAACGCGUGGGGAAUCUGCCUUUGAGCGGGGGACAACAUUUGGAAACGAAUGCUAAUACCGCAUAAAAACUUUAAACACAAGUUUUAAGUUUGAAAGAUGCAAUUGCAUCACUCAAAGAUGAUCCCGCGUUGUAUUAGCUAGUUGGCGAGGUAAAGGCUCACCAAGGCGAUGAUACAUAGCCGACCUGAGAGGGUGAUCGGCCACAUUGGGACUGAGACACGGCCCAAACUCCUACGGGAGGCAGCAGUAGGGAAUCUUCGGCAAGAGACGAAAGUCUGACCGAGCAACGCCGCGUGAGUGAAGAAGGUUUUCGGAUCGUAAAACUCUGUUGGUAGAGAAGAACGUUGGUGAGAGUGGAAAGCUCAUCAAGUGACGGUAACUACCCAGAAAGGGACGGCUAACUACGUG